GAUGAAGAACGUAGCGAAAUGCGAUAAGUAAUGUGAAUUGCAGAAUUCAGUGAAUCAUCGAAUCUCUGAACGCACAUUGCGCCCGCCAGUAUUCUGGCGGGCAUGCCUGUUCGAGCGUCAUUUCAACCAUCAAGCCCCCGGCUUGUGUUGGGGACCUGCGGCUGCCGCAGGCCCUGAAAACCAGUGGCGGGCUCGCUGUCACACCGAGCGUAGUAGAUUUUCAUCUCGCUCAGGGCGUGCUGCGGGUUCCGGCCGUAAAAAGCCUUAUUUACCCAAGGUUGACCUCGGAUCAGGUAGGAAGACCCGCUGAACUUAAGCAUAUCAAUAAGCGGAGGA
rnacentral:misc_RNA from 1 species